ensembl:ncRNA Y65B4BR.10 ncRNA
GUAACUUGCCAUUGGCUGCUGGUCGAUGCGUUUUGUCAUAUGACCUGCACAUCUAACGCCGUUUCGCCCGCGCAUUCAAACGUGUUUGUUGGGGCGCGCUUGCUAUUCAAUAGCAUUUUUCACAUACA